rnacentral:rRNA from 1 species
UACGGAGGAUGCAAGCGUUAUCCGGAAUGAUUGGGCGUAAAGCGUCCGCCGGUGGCUAUGUAAGUCUGCUGUUAAAGAGUGAGGCUCAACCUCAUAAAAGCAGUGGAAACUACAUGGCUAGAGUGCGUUCGGGGCAGAGGGAAUUCCUGGUGUAGCGGUGAAAUGCGUAGAUAUCAGGAAGAACACCGGUGGCGAAAGCGCUCUGCUAGGCCGCAACGGACACUGAGAGACGAAAGCUAGGGGAGCGAAUGGG